GUGAUCGAGACCAGUCACCCUGAACGCGCCCGGUCUCGCCUGCCCUCCGAAGCUAAGCAGGGUCAGGCCCCAUUAGAACUUGGGUGGGAGACCAGGUAUCCACUAACUGUGUUUAGAAGAGCUUGGCUGCC
rnacentral:rRNA from 1 species